UACGGAGGGUGCAAGCGUUAAUCGGAAUUACUGGGCGUAAAGCGCGCGUAGGCGGUCACGCAAGUCGGAUGUGUAAGCCCCGGGCUCAACCUGGGAAUUGCAUUCGAUACUACGUGGCUUGAGUGUGGUAGAGGGAAGCGGAAUUCCGGGUGUAGCGGUGAAAUGCGUAGAUAUCCGGAGGAACACCAGUGGCGAAGGCGGCUUCCUGGACCAACACUGACGCUGAGGCGCGAAAGCGUGGGUAGCAAACAGG
rnacentral:rRNA from 1 species